rnacentral:rRNA from 1 species
AGCCGCGGUAAUUCCAGCUCCAAUAGCGUAUAUUAAAGUUGCUGCAGUUAAAAAGCUCGUAGUUGGAUUUCUGGCGUUUCAUUUCAGGCCGGCCACGGUUUCGUGUGUUAGUGCUUGAGAUCUUCGCCAUCCUUCCAAUGGCUAUUCAUCCUUCUUCAUUGAAGGUGUGAGUGGUCUUGGAUCUUUUACUUUGAGAAAAUUAGAGUGUUUCAAGCAGGCUGUAUGCUAUGAAUCCAUGAGCAUGGAAUAGUAAUUUAGGACUUCGGAUGUAUUUUGUGGGUGUCUAGAACUGAAGUAAUAAUUGAUAGGGAUAGGAGAGGGAGCUAGAAUUCAGCGGGUCGAGGUGAAAUUCGCGGAUACGGUGAAGAAUAACAGAGGCGAAAGCAUUCACCUAGAAUGUCUUCUUUAAUCAAGAACGAAAG